CGGACGGGUGAGUAACGCGUGGGUAACCUGCCUCAUACAGGGGGAUAACAGUUAGAAAUGACUGCUAAUACCGCAUAAGACCACAGAGCCGCAUGGCUCAGUGGGAAAAACUCCGGUGGUAUGAGAUGGACCCGCGUCUGAUUAGGUAGUUGGUGGGGUAACGGCCUACCAAGCCGACGAUCAGUAGCCGACCUGAGAGGGUGACCGGCCACAUUGGGACUGAGACACGGCCCAA
rnacentral:rRNA from 1 species